rnacentral:rRNA from 1 species
CAAUAGCGUAUAUUAAAGUUGUUGCAGUUAGAACGCUCGUAGUCGGAUUUCGGGGCGGGCCGACCGGUCUGCCGAUGGGUAUGCACUGGUCGGCGCGUCCUUCCUUCCGGAGACCGUCCCUACUCUUAACUGAGCGGGGGCGGGAGACGGGACUUUUACUUUGAAAAAAUCAGAGUGUUUCAAGCAGGCAGCUCGCUCUUGCAUGGAUUAGCAUGGGAUAAUGAAAUAGGACUUUGGUGCUAUUUUGUUGGUUUCGAACACCGAAGUAAUGAUUAAAAGGGACAGUCAGGGGCACUCGUAUUCCGCCGAGAGAGGUGAAAUUCUCAGACCAGCGGAAGACGAACCACUGCGAAAGCAUUUGCCAGGGAUGUUUUCACUGA